AUAUUCUCAUUUCUCCACUGGUAGGUCACAUUGCUUUACGCCACCCAGAAGAUGGUUCUGUGAUGAUUCAAGCAAUGGAUGAAGUCUUUCAGAAACAUGGCAAGAAGUUGCAUAUUGUGGAUUUUUUUACUCGAGUGAACAACAGAGUGGUGCACACAGACUUUUACAUGGACGAGGAUCCUGUCAAAAUGGUGUUGGUCAUGGAGUCCACUCUCACCAAAGCUGUGUACUUUUGACACUUGGUGGAGGCAGAGGUGGAGGUGGUGGAAGAUUUUCAGUACAGAAUAAUUUGUUUAUGCAUUAGCACUGUGCUUUACACUGUAUCAAAUACUGGCUCUUAUGUAUGUUGGAUGUAAUGUGUUGUGAAGGUUUCAUCAGAAACUGCAGCACAAAGCAGUCAGUCUUAUAUCCUGACACUCUGGACAAUCCCUGCAGUUGUCAUUGCUAAGUGAACUGAACCAGGUGCUGCACUCCUGUUCCCACCACACUGACUCUGGUUCAGUACCCUGCUAAAUGCUCACAAGCCUCAAAGACCCUACACAGUUAGAAAGUAUUCCCACAGGGCCCAGGAACUCCUGUGUUUUCCCAAAGAUCCCUGCACUCAUGGGUGCCCAUAGGGCCCAAGAACUCCUGUGUUGUGCAAAAGACACCUGCACAUGUGACCCUGCUGUGGGAAGUGUUUACUCAACACCGAAGAAGGAUUGUGUUGGGUCCUGCCUUUUUGUGGGUUUCAUACUUAAUAACCCUCCCCCUGCCACGAAUCACAAGGUCUCUUCAGUAGGAUGUUGAUUUGCAAACCUGUUUUCCUCACUGUGAAAUUAAACUUUUGUUUAAUUCCUGA